UAAGAAUUAAUUUCAUUUUGGAAGGGGGUUAUGUCACACAAAUUUAAUUUAAAAUUAAUGUCAAGAAUUAAUUUCAUUAUGGAAGGGGGUGAGUUAAAUUCUUUGUGAAUUGAAAAUUUUACGGGAGAAAAAGAUAAAAGUUGGAAGUAGGGUCUGAUUGAAUGAAGAAUUUGGAGAUUGGAAUCUUGAGGGUGGUUUUUGCUCAGGCUUCGUUAGGGAAUUGAAUUCGAAGAUUGAUUAUUGGAGACUGCCGCUUUGAUCGAUAUCUGAAUCUAGUAUCGAGGUAAAGGUAGAGAUGCACUGGCGAUUGACAAGCAUAAUCCGUGAUCGAGCCAUUAGGACUAGUUCUAUGCUUCCGUUCAUGAUAUUUAGAUUCCUUUUCAUGUUUUUCAACUUUCAGUUUUGAUGUUUGAAACUUACUACUAAGAUUUUUUUUCAGACCUAUUUAUUAUCA